UUAUCCGGAAUUAUUGGGCGUAAAGGGCUCGUAGGCGGUUCGUCGCGUCCGGUGUGAAAGUCCAUCGCUUAACGGUGGAUCCGCGCCGGGUACGGGCGGGCUUGAGUGCGGUAGGGGAGACUGGAAUUCCCGGUGUAACGGUGGAAUGUGUAGAUAUCGGGAAGAACACCAAUGGCGAAGGCAGGUCUCUGGGCCGUCACUGACGCUGAGGAGCGAAAGCGUGGGGAGCGAACAGGAUUAGAUACCCUGGUAGUCCACGCCGUAAACGGUGGAUGCUGGAUGUGGGGACCAUUCCACGGUCUCCGUGUCGGAGCCAACGCGUUAAGCAUCCCGCCUGGGGAGUACGGCCGCAAGGCUAAAACUCAAAGAAAUUGACGGGGGCCCGCACAAGCGGCGGAGCGUGCG
rnacentral:rRNA from 1 species